rnacentral:rRNA from 1 species
UACGUAGGGGCCGAGCGUUGUCCGGAGUUACUGGGCGUAAAGCGCGCGCAGGCGGCUCGUCAAGCCUGACGUGAAAGCCCCCGGCUCCAACCGGGGAGGGUCGUCGGGGACUGUCGGGCUUGAGUAUGGGAGAGGUGAGUGGAAUUUCCGGUGUAGCGGUGAAAUGCGUAGAUAUCGGAAGGAACACCUGUGGCGAAAGCGGCUCACUGGACCAUUACUGACGCUGAGGCACGAAAGCUAGGGGAGCAAACAGG